GUGUCAGCAGCCGCGGUAAUACGAAGGGGGCUAGCGUUGUUCGGAAUUACUGGGCGUAAAGCGCACGUAGGCGGAUAUUUAAGUCAGGGGUGAAAUCCCGCAGCUCAACUGCGGAACUGCCUUUGAUACUGGGUAUCUUGAGUAUGGAAGAGGUUAGUGGAAUUGCGAGUGUAGAGGUGAAAUUCGUAGAUAUUCGCAGGAACACCAGUGGCGAAGGCGGCUAACUGGUCCAUAACUGACGCUGAGGUGCGAAAGCGUGGGGAGCAAACAGGAUUAGAAACCCCCGUAGUCC
rnacentral:rRNA from 1 species